ACAGCCAUAUCACAUUGAAACACUGAUGCUAAUUCUCAUAUGAUCACUAAAGUUAAGCAAUGCUGAGCCCGGUCAGUAUCUAGAUGGGUGACUGCUUGGGAAUACCAGGUACUGUAAG